rnacentral:rRNA from 1 species
GGUUAAGCGACUAAGCGUACACGGUGGAUGCCCUGGCAGUCAGAGGCGAUGAAGGACGUGCUAAUCUGCGAAAAGCGUCGGUAAGGUGAUAUGAACCGUUAUAACCGGCGAUGUCCGAAUGGGGAAACCCAGUGUGAUUCGUCACACUAUCGUUAACUGAAUACAUAGGUUAACGAGGCGAACCGGGGGAACUGAAACAUCUAAGUACCCCGAGGAAAAGAAAUCAACCGAGAUUCCCCCAGUAGCGGCGAGCGAACGGGGAGCAGCCCAGAGUCUGAAUCAGCUUGUGUGUUAGUGGAACGGUCUGGAAAGUCCGACGGUACAGGGUGAUAGUCCCGUACACCAAAAUGCACAGGCUGUGAACUCGAAGAGUAGGGCGGGACACGUGGUAUCCUGUCUGAAUAUGGGGGGACCAUCCUCCAAGGCUAAAUACUCCUGACUGACCGAUAGUGAACCAGUACCGUGAGGGAAAGGCGAAAAGAACCCCGGCGAGGGGAGUGAAAAAGAACCUGAAACCGUGUACGUACAAGCAGUGGGAGCACCUUUAUGGUGUGACUGCGUACCUUUUGUAUAAUGGGUCAGCGACUUAUAUUCUGUAGCAAGGUUAACCGUAUAGGGGAGCCGCAGGGAAACCGAGUCUUAACUGGGCGUUAAGUUGCAGGGUAUAGACCCGAAACCCGGUGAUCUAGCCAUGGGCAGGUUGAAGGUUGGGUAACACUAACUGGAGGACCGAACCGACUAAUGUUGAAAAAUUAGCGGAUGACUUGUGGCUGGGGGUGAAAGGCCAAUCAAACCGGGAGAUAGCUGGUUCUCCCCGAAAGCUAUUUAGGUAGCGCCUCGUGAACUCAUCUUCGGGGGUAGAGCACUGUUUCGGCUAGGGGGUCAUCCCGACUUACCAACCCGAUGCAAACUACGAAUACCGAAGAAUGUUAUCACGGGAGACACACGGCGGGUGCUAACGUCCGUCGUGAAGAGGGAAACAACCCAGACCGCCAGCUAAGGUCCCAAAGUCAUGGUUAAGUGGGAAACGAUGUGGGAAGGCACAGACAGCCAGGAUGUUGGCUUAGAAGCAGCCAUCAUUUAAAGAAAGCGUAAUAGCUCACUGGUCGAGUCGGCCUGCGCGGAAGAUGUAACGGGGCUAAACCAUGCACCGAAGCUGCGGCAGCGAC